rnacentral:lncRNA from 10 species
GCAAUAUUCGGGUGGGAGUGACCCGAUUUUCCAGGUGCGUCCGUCACCCCUUUCUUUGACUCAGAAAGGGAACUCCCUGACCCCUUGCGCUUCCCAGGUGAGGCAAUGCCUCGCCCUGCUUUGGCUCGUGCACGGUGCGCGCACCCACUGGCCUGCGCCCACUGUCUGGCACUCCCUAGUGAGAUGAACCCGAUACCUCAGAUGGAAAUGCAGAAAUCACCAGUCUUCUGCGUCGCUCAGGCUGGGAGCUGUAGACCGGCGCUGUUCCUAUUCGGCCAUCUUGGCUCGAAAGAGAUGUACAGGUUUUAUGUGGAUAUAAGUUUUUAUUUCCCUGGGAUAAAUGCCCAAAAUGAGAUUGUAGUGUUAUGUGGGUGGACUAUCCUUUUGCUGAGCAGGACUGAAAUAUAAAACAGAAAACCUGAGAGGGAAGAAGUAACGCUAUAUAGAAGACAAUUCAUAAUGUAAAAAGGUCUGCAUGGAAGAGGAUUGAAGAGCCAGAUGACAGAUGAGAGCCAAAAGGUUUGGAGAUGCUGGCAGAAGACCCAAGACUCCUGGAUCAGAGACAAAAGAUUUAUUACUCACAGCACAGCAAACAGUACCUCCAGUCUAUUGGAUGGGGCCUGCCCACAUAGAUGGUGGAUCUUCCCCACUCAGUCCGUGAUUCAUACGCCGAUCUCUUCUGGAAACACCCUCACAGAAACACCUGGGAAAGCCUAAUUAUUCAAAUUUAAAGUAAAACCACCUAGGUUUCCCUGUCAGUAGAAGAGGGAUGGGCUUGGUGCCUACUGAUGCAAUGAGAAUAAACAAUACCAGUUAUCUGAUGAUUUCUUAAUCCAGUCAAGUUGACACCAAAAAUCAACCAUCACAAUGGAUCUGGCAUGAUGAUGCAUACACAGUGAGAUUGCAUCAUCAGUGAGGAAUACUGAGCUUGGUGAUUCCACAUCUUUCAUAGCAGGUAUUAAGCAAGGCUGCUCUUUGCCCCAAAAGGAGACAUCACCUCACUGUCAAGUUCGCUCCCUGUAAGUACAAUCCUAGUAAACAGCGGUCAGGACUUUGCCUGCUGGGUAAACAGAAUAGGAUGUGUAGCAUGAGAAACCUAUGGAAGACUUUUUCUCCCAACAGGGAGUCAAGAUACUAACUGAAGUUAAAGAAACGAGAAAUAGAAUAUAGGCCUAUCAGUUAAAGUUCCAAAGGUCAUUAGUAAAAGAACUAAAAAUAGUAUGUAACUCUGAAACAGUGCGAGGAGAAAUGCAUAUAUAAUAAAUCCCUUUCUAAUACUUCAUGAUUAGAAAUUAAUAAAUGUAGUAUAAAGUUAACACAUCUGAUAAAAGCAAUAAAAGUAUAUUAUUGAGAGAAGUGGAGGUAGCCACCUAAAUAACUAAAACCAUAAACAUUUAAAACAGAUUGACUUCAGAGUGAGAUUAAAGAUGUGAGAGAGGGUGGUUUUCAUUUCACUUUAUGAAAGCUCCUAACGCAUUCAUCCACAUAUCUAUAGGUGUGUAUGUAUGUAUACUUUAUACAUAUACAAGUAUGUGUA